rnacentral:rRNA from 1 species
CCUACGGGUGGCAGCAGUGAGGAAUAUUGGUCAAUGGUCGGGAGCCUGAACCAGCCAAGUCGCGUGAGGGAAGACGGUCCUAUGGAUUGUAAACCUCUUUAGGCGGGGAGCAAUGCCGGGCACGCGUGCCCGGAGGGAGAGUACCCGCAGAAUAAGCAUCGGCUAACUCCGUGCCAGCAGCCGCGGUAAUACGGAGGAUGCGAGCGUUAAUCGGAAUUACUGGGCGUAAAGCGCUCGUAGGCGGUAUGUCAAGUCAAGGGUGAAAUCCCCGCGCUCAACGUGGGAACUGCCUUUGAAACUGGCAAACUGGAGUGUGUGAGAGGAUAGUGGAAUUCCAGGUGUAGGAGUGAAAUCCGUAGAUAUCACGAAGAACCCCGAUUGCGAAGGCAGCUUACUAAACUGUGACUGACAUUGAUGCUCGAAAGUGUGGGUAUCAAACAGGAUUAGAUACCCCAGUAGUC